UGAAGAAGAGGAGGAGAAGAUUGGGAAAUCUGUUUCUCAUGGUGCUAGAGACAGAACAUUCCAAGGACCUCCAGAGCCUUCUGACCAAUUACCUGCCAUCUCUCCAGAGCACAGAGAAUGAGUCUGCUUGGCCAUGGAACUCCAGAGCAGCAUAUCAAAAAACAUGCCACCCUGAUGCCAGCAGGCCGUUCCCUGAGGAAGGAUGCAACGGUCAAGGCUUUCAAUGGUCACAUUUGGGGGAUGACUAAAUGCAAAAUAACUUUUUCAUAGCAUAUUGGUCUUCACAUUUUUACUAUGGUAACUUA